UACGAAGGUCCCAAGCGUUAUUCGGAAUCACUGGGCGUAAAGGGAGCGUAGGCGGCAUGGAAAGUCAGAUGUGAAAUCCCGAGGCUCAACCUUGGAACUGCAUCCGAUACUCCCGUGCUAGAGGGCUGGAGAGGUGUUUGGAAUUAUCGGUGUAGCAGUGAAAUGCGUAGAUAUCGAUAGGAAGACCAAUGGCGAAGGCAGAACACUGGACAGUACCUGACGCUGAGGCUCGAAGGCUAGGGGAGCGAAAGGG
rnacentral:rRNA from 1 species